rnacentral:rRNA from 1 species
CUACGGGCGGCAGCAGUAAGGAAUAUUGGUCAAUGGACGAAAGUCUGAACCAGCCAUGCCGCGUGCAGGAUGACAGCCCUAUGGGUUGUAAACUGCUUUUAUACGGGAAGAACUCCCUGUACGUGUACAGGGUUGACGGUACCGUACGAAUAAGGAUCGGCUAACUCCGUGCCAGCAGCCGCGGUAAUACGGAGGAUCCAAGCGUUAUCCGGAUUCAUUGGGUUUAAAGGGUGCGUAGGCGGAAUGAUAAGUUAGUGGUGAAAGCCCCCGGCGCAACCGGGGAACUGCAAUUAAUACUGUCAUGCUUGAGUAUAGUUGAAGUGGGCGGAAUGUAUCAUGUAGCGGUGAAAUGCUUAGAUAUGAUACAGAACACCGAUAGCGUAGGCAGCUUGCUAAGCUAUAACUGACGCUCAGGCACGAAAGCGUGGGGAUCAAACAGGAUUAGAUACCCCAGUAGUC